rnacentral:rRNA from 1 species
GAUGAACGCUGACAGAAUGCUUAACACAUGCAAGUCAUUGGCGAAGCUGCGCUUGCGCAGUCUAGCCAAGGCGGACGGGUGAGUAACGCGUAAGGAACUUGCCCUGCAGACAGGGAUAACAGACGGAAACGACUGAUAACACCUGGUAUUGUCAGGCUGGCGCAUGCCGGCCUGAUGAAAGGAGACGCUGCAGGAGAGCCUUGCGUCCUAUUAGCUAGUUGGUGGGGUAACGGCCCACCAAGGCGAUGAUAGGUAGCCGGCCUGAGAGGGUGAACGGCCACCAGGGGACUGAGAUACGGCCCUUACUCCUACGGGAGGCAGCAGUGGGGAAUAUUGGACAAUGGGGGCAACCCUGAUCCAGCAAUUCUGUGUGCACGAAGAAGGUUUUCGGAUUGUAAAGUGCUUUCAGCAGGGAAGAAGAAAGUGACGGUACCUGCAGAAGAAGCGACGGCUAAAUACGUG